CGGAGGAACAACCACAGUGGUGGUGGCCGGCUCUGGAGCCCUGGAUUCAGCUCCCACAGUAACUACAGAGCUCUCAGCCUGCAGAGGUCUGGAUGCUCUGGGGGUGG
rnacentral:pre_miRNA from 1 species